rnacentral:rRNA from 1 species
GUCUACGGUCAUGCCACCCCAAACAAGCCCGACGUCUGAUCUCGGAAGCUAAGCAGGGUCAGACCUGGUUAGUAUUUGGAAGGGAGACCACCUAGGAAGACCAGGUGCUGAGGGCA